CUCAUCUGGAUGCUGUCGAAGAGACAGAGCUGGACACCGGUUAAAAGUGGCAUUCAAAGCUAUGCCUUUCCCUCUCAGCACUGCUUUAGCUGCAUCCCACAGCAUUUUUUCAGCUUUAAAAUAUUCUAACAACCCACAUUCCAAGAUUCGCAUCUAUCCCAAGGUUCCCUGGCUCCUAAAUGGCUUAUGCAAAUCUUGAAGGAGUCUCUACUUUCUGAGGAGGAAAACGGCUCUUUAAUCUGGACUCCAGAAUGU